GAAUGCGCAUCGUGCUAGGGAUAGACUGUUGCAAUUUUCAGUCUUGAACGAGGAAUUCCUAGUAAACGCAAGUCAUCAGCUUGCAUUGAUUACGUCCCUGCCCUUUGUACACACCGCCCGUCGCACCUACCGAUUGAAUGACUCGGUGAAAAAUUGGGACCGUGAGUCUGUUUGCUUUAUUGCGAGUGGAUUGAUGGGAACUUUUUUAAACCUCGCCAUUUAGAGGAAGGUGAAGUCGUAACAAGGUUUCCGUAGGUGAACCUGCGGAAGGAUCAUUA
rnacentral:rRNA from 1 species